CCCGGGCCUUGUAGCACGCCGCCCGUUGUACCAUGAAUUGCAUGCCCCUGAAGUACGUUACCCUAACCGUUCCGGAGGGCGCUAAGCGAAUGUAGGCUGAUGACUGGGUGAAGUCGUAACAAGGUAGCCGUACCGGAAGGUGUGGCUGGAUCACCUCCUUU
rnacentral:rRNA from 1 species